rnacentral:lncRNA from 1 species
CUUCUGAACAAACUAUGAACCAAGGGAUCUCAGACAAAUCCACCACCCUUGCUUUUACCACAAUACGGGCAAGGUUGUUAGGAUCCUCUUCCCAGACAAGGAGCUUACCAAAUGUAGAGAUAGCUUUCUCAAUGUCUACCUUAGACCAGAAAUCAAUGUUGAAGCCCAAAAGCUUUAACCAAACCUCACAAUUCAGGGUAAUAGUGUUAUUAUUCCAUCUGUGAUUAUGCUCAGUAAAAGAAAUUUUGUAUUACCC